GACGAACGCUGGCGGCGUGCUUAACACAUGCAAGUCGAACGGAAAGGCCCUGCUUUUGUGGGGUGCUCGAGUGGCGAACGGGUGAGUAACACGUGAGUAACCUGCCCUUGACUUUGGGAUAACUUCAGGAAACUGGGGCUAAUACCGGAUAGGAGCUCCUGCUGCAUGGUGGGGGUUGGAAAGUUUCGGCGGUUGGGGAUGGACUCGCGGCUUAUCAGCUUGUUGGUGGGGUAGUGGCUUACCAAGGCUUUGACGGGUAGCCGGCCUGAGAGGGUGACCGGCCACAUUGGGACUGAGAUACGGCCCAGACUCCUACGGGAGGCAGCAGUGGGGAAUAUUGACAAUGGGCGGAAGCCUGAUGCAGCAACGCCGCGUGCGGGAUGACGGCCUUCGGGCUGUAAACCGCUUUCGCCUGUGACGAAGCGUGAGUGACGGUAAUGGGUAAAGAAGCACCGGCUAACUACGUG
rnacentral:rRNA from 1 species